GGGUUAAAACUCGAAAUCAGUCACACUCGGUCAAACUCGUAAAAUCAGUCCGAUUUUACCGAUUUUAACCGAGUUUGAUCGAUUUCGAGUUUUAACCU
rnacentral:pre_miRNA from 1 species